rnacentral:lncRNA from 1 species
GAAAGAUUCUGUGUGCAUGUACAUGUUAAACAAGCAUGUUUGACUUCAAGGCUUCAUUUAGCAUUACAAGAUGACCACUUUAUUGACAGGUGACAAAGCUGUGAGAUAUACAGGUAGUCCUAAAAGAGUGCUAACAAAUCUUCUGUGAACUAUCUAAAAUAACACAAGGAUAAAGGUCUUCCUAUAAGAUAUUUCUUUGCUGUCUGUGAGGAAUAUGUUGUUUUCAACUUUAGUUCCUGAGGUGAAUUUCAGGCUGUGGCACCUGUAGGUGAAAUAUUUACAGAUCAGUUAAUAUAGAUGGAUGCAGUCAGAGAAGAUGAACUGCGGUUAAAAUACUGUGAUUAAAAAUACUGUUAUGUUUGGUAUUUCAGCUGGCUAUGGAUGCGUAUGGAAAAAAAAGGUGAUGCAGGCUAAAAUGUACUUCUACUGCAGGUUGUUGCAUACAAUUACAGGCCUUUAUCCUGACUUUUUCAUAGAAUCAUAGAAUGGCCUGGGUUGAGAAGGACCACAAUGAUCAUCGAGUUUCAACCCCCCUGCUAUGUGCAGGGUCGCCAACCACCAGACCAGGCUGCCCAGAGCCACAUCCAGCCUGGCCUUGAAUGCCUCCAGGGAUGGGGCAUCCACAGCCUCCUUGGGCAGCCUGUUCCAGUGUGUCACCACCCUCUGGGUGAGAUUGUCCCCUCCAGCCUGUAUGUCUUACCUAAUCUGUCAAAUCUCCUCGUGGAGAGUAGGACCUCUGUCACUGCAUUUCAGAACAAGGCACUCUAUAACUGGCAAAUACUGGUGCAAAAACGUGAAUCUUUUUUUACCUGUUGCAUCCACUUUAGCAAUCUCUACUGGCUUCAAAAUAUGCAUGUAAUCCUAUACUGAAUAAUCUCUUUUCAUAUAGCCUGUGCUAAUCUUAACACUAUGAUGUCAUCCAAAAUCCACAGUAUUGGUGAAACAUGUUUUAAUAUUCCAGCUCUUUUGAUCAUCCCUCGUAAAUCAAUCCCUCAAUCUCUUUAAUUAUUUUAAUUGCUCUUCUUUAAAUUCCCCUUGAGUGUAAUUUUCUAAUAGGAAGAUUUCCCAAAAUAUCCCAGGCAUGACUUAGUUAAGUAGUAGGCAAAGAGUAGUCAUGCCAAAGGAACGGAAGAGAAAAAUCUGUUAGUUUCUUCCUCAGUGAUUCACUUCACUUGGAGGGGCAUCUGUGGGCUUUCUGAUAUGUCUGCUCUGUAAGACCACAUAUAAUUUACUGUCUGCUUUCACUCCUACAGGUCAAUACUGCAGAUUUCUUCCUUUUGCUGAAUGUUUUCCUGUGGCUAUACCAAGAUUUCCAAGCUCUUCAGAUGAAGUCCAGUGCUGAUCCAUAAAAUUCCCAACCACAUAAAAAAGAAUAGGCUGCAGAAUGCCAUGAAAUCACCGAUACCGUCGUAUUGUUCCCAUUAGAUCUCGUUUCUGCAGAUUCCUGCAAGAGAGGAGCCAAGAGCUGUAACGUUCGUAGUGCCUGACAACAUUAAUCAUCGAUCCUAUUGCGAACUGCUUCUGGGUGGGAUGUUUCUGGGUUUGUAACUACAUAUGGCUCCUAUCAUUUGCGGCUUCCGCAAGCAAUUCUAGUUAUCCUUCAUUAAAAAGACUUUAAAUAAAA